rnacentral:miRNA from 1 species
AAAUAAAAAUGUAUUGCUUAAAAUGAAAUAACAUUCCUUUAGUGUGUGUUAUGUUGAUCAUUUGUAGCAAAGCAUGAAUCUGCAGCUAGAGACAUAUUAUCUACUGAUCUGUUGAUUUAUUUUGAUAAAAACUGAGAGCAUUUAUAGAAGUUUUUUUGUUUUAAGAUUUUGAAUCAAAUAAAGCAAAA